ACUUUCAAAGGAUAGUAGUAAUCCAAUGGUCUUAGGAACCACAUACCUUGGUGCAAAUCCAAGUGAAAGUA
rnacentral:tRNA from 1 species